rnacentral:rRNA from 5 species
GGUUAAGCGACUAAGCGUACACGGUGGAUGCCCUGGCAGUCAGAGGCGAUGAAGGACGUGCUAAUCUGCGAUAAGCGUCGGUAAGGUGAUAUGAACCGUUAUAACCGGCGAUUUCCGAAUGGGGAAACCCAGUGUGAUUCGUCACACUAUCAUUAACUGAAUCCAUAGGUUAAUGAGGCGAACCGGGGGAACUGAAACAUCUAAGUACCCCGAGGAAAAGAAAUCAACCGAGAUUCCCCCAGUAGCGGCGAGCGAACGGGGAGCAGCCCAGAGCCUGAAUCAGUGUGUGUGUUAGUGGAAGCGUCUGGAAAGGCGUGCGAUACAGGGUGACAGCCCCGUACACAAAAAUGCACAUACUGUGAGCUCGAUGAGUAGGGCGGGACACGUGGUAUCCUGUCUGAAUAUGGGGGGACCAUCCUCCAAGGCUAAAUACUCCUGACUGACCGAUAGUGAACCAGUACCGUGAGGGAAAGGCGAAAAGAACCCCGGCGAGGGGAGUGAAAAAGAACCUGAAACCGUGUACGUACAAGCAGUGGGAGCACGCUUAGGCGUGUGACUGCGUACCUUUUGUAUAAUGGGUCAGCGACUUAUAUUCUGUAGCAAGGUUAACCGAAUAGGGGAGCCGAAGGGAAACCGAGUCUUAACUGGGCGUUAAGUUGCAGGGUAUAGACCCGAAACCCGGUGAUCUAGCCAUGGGCAGGUUGAAGGUUGGGUAACACUAACUGGAGGACCGAACCGACUAAUGUUGAAAAAUUAGCGGAUGACUUGUGGCUGGGGGUGAAAGGCCAAUCAAACCGGGAGAUAGCUGGUUCUCCCCGAAAGCUAUUUAGGUAGCGCCUCGUGAAUUCAUCUCCGGGGGUAGAGCACUGUUUCGGCAAGGGGGUCAUCCCGACUUACCAACCCGAUGCAAACUGCGAAUACCGGAGAAUGUUAUUACGGGAGACACACGGCGGGUGCUAACGUCCGUCGUGAAGAGGGAAACAACCCAGACCGCCAGCUAAGGUCCCAAAGUCAUGGUUAAGUGGGAAACGAUGUGGGAAGGCCCAGACAGCCAGGAUGUUGGCUUAGAAGCAGCCAUCAUUUAAAGAAAGCGUAAUAGCUCACUGGUCGAGUCGGCCUGCGCGGAAGAUGUAACGGGGCUAAACCAUGCACCGAAGCUGCGGCAGCGACGCUUAUGCGUUGUUGGGUAGGGGAGCGUUCUGUAAGCCUGUGAAGGUGUGCUGUGAGGUAUGCUGGAGGUAUCAGAAGUGCGAAUGCUGACAUAAGUAACGAUAAAGCGGGUGAAAAGCCCGCUCGCCGGAAGACCAAGGGUUCCUGUCCAACGUUAAUCGGGGCAGGGUGAGUCGACCCCUAAGGCGAGGCCGAAAGGCGUAGUCGAUGGGAAACAGGUUAAUAUUCCUGUACUUGGUGUUACUGCGAAGGGGGGACGGAGAAGGCUAUGUUGGCCGGGCGACGGUUGUCCCGGUUUAAGCGUGUAGGCUGGUUUUCCAGGCAAAUCCGGAAAAUCAAGGCCGAGGCGUGAUGACGAGGCACUACGGUGCUGAAGCAACAAAUGCCCUGCUUCCAGGAAAAGCCUCUAAGCAUCAGGUAACAUCAAAUCGUACCCCAAACCGACACAGGUGGUCAGGUAGAGAAUACCAAGGCGCUUGAGAGAACUCGGGUGAAGGAACUAGGCAAAAUGGUGCCGUAACUUCGGGAGAAGGCACGCUGAUACGUAGGUGAAGCGACUUGCUCGUGGAGCUGAAAUCAGUCGAAGAUACCAGCUGGCUGCAACUGUUUAUUAAAAACACAGCACUGUGCAAACACGAAAGUGGACGUAUACGGUGUGACGCCUGCCCGGUGCCGGAAGGUUAAUUGAUGGGGUUAGCGCAAGCGAAGCUCUUGAUCGAAGCCCCGGUAAACGGCGGCCGUAACUAUAACGGUCCUAAGGUAGCGAAAUUCCUUGUCGGGUAAGUUCCGACCUGCACGAAUGGCGUAAUGAUGGCCAGGCUGUCUCCACCCGAGACUCAGUGAAAUUGAACUCGCUGUGAAGAUGCAGUGUACCCGCGGCAAGACGGAAAGACCCCGUGAACCUUUACUAUAGCUUGACACUGAACAUUGAGCCUUGAUGUGUAGGAUAGGUGGGAGGCUUUGAAGUGUGGACGCCAGUCUGCAUGGAGCCGACCUUGAAAUACCACCCUUUAAUGUUUGAUGUUCUAACGUGGACCCGUGAUCCGGGUUGCGGACAGUGUCUGGUGGGUAGUUUGACUGGGGCGGUCUCCUCCUAAAGAGUAACGGAGGAGCACGAAGGUUGGCUAAUCCUGGUCGGACAUCAGGAGGUUAGUGCAAUGGCAUAAGCCAGCUUGACUGCGAGCGUGACGGCGCGAGCAGGUGCGAAAGCAGGUCAUAGUGAUCCGGUGGUUCUGAAUGGAAGGGCCAUCGCUCAACGGAUAAAAGGUACUCCGGGGAUAACAGGCUGAUACCGCCCAAGAGUUCAUAUCGACGGCGGUGUUUGGCACCUCGAUGUCGGCUCAUCACAUCCUGGGGCUGAAGUAGGUCCCAAGGGUAUGGCUGUUCGCCAUUUAAAGUGGUACGCGAGCUGGGUUUAGAACGUCGUGAGACAGUUCGGUCCCUAUCUGCCGUGGGCGCUGGAGAACUGAGGGGGGCUGCUCCUAGUACGAGAGGACCGGAGUGGACGCAUCACUGGUGUUCGGGUUGUCAUGCCAAUGGCACUGCCCGGUAGCUAAAUGCGGAAGAGAUAAGUGCUGAAAGCAUCUAAGCACGAAACUUGCCCCGAGAUGAGUUCUCCCUGACCCUUUAAGGGUCCUGAAGGAACGUUGAAGACGACGACGUUGAUAGGCCGGGUGUGUAAGCGCAGCGAUGCGUUGAGCUAACCGGUACUAAUGAACCGUGAGGCUUAACCUU